GGAGGUGGAAGAAAAAGAGAUAGGCUCGGUGUGAGGAGCAAUGUGUGGCCAAGAAAGUGGAGAAAGGGCCAUAGGAGGUCCUAGCCUUGUGGUUGCCCCAGAGAUUCCUCAAGAAUGGAGAAGACAGGAUGAAGUCAGUAACAGGAAAGCAGACUAGGCUUAGCAGGGUAUUAGGUGUUCACUGAAUUUGUGUCUGGUCCCAUCCAGCUGAGCUGCCAGCUAGUUACCUAGACUGUUCCUCUCUGGCUAUCCUUGUCCUUCCAAGGGCAGGCCCUGUGACUGACAGUCCACUGAGCAUAUGAGAUGCUCAGCACAUCCUGUUGACUCAUAAGGUGUUGUUCUUUGCUCUUGAUCUGAACACUGAAGGGCUCACCAUUCACUGUGACAGUGAGGAAAAGGCACCGCCCACACCUGGGGGUGUUUCACUGCUGCACUUUCUGCUCCAGCGGAGGCCAGAAAACUGCCCGCUGUGCCUGUGGAGGCACCAUGCCAGGUGGGUACUUAGGCUGUGGCCAUGGACACAAAGGCCACCCAGGUCGUCCCCACUGGUCAUGCUGUGGGAAGUUUACUGAGAAGUCGGAAUGCACCUGGACAGGUGGGCAGAGCACACCAAGGAGCCUACUCAGGACUGUGGCGCUCUGAUGGCCUCUUGGGUAUGGACCCCAGACCUUAAAUAAUUUUCUCAAGAAACUGAUAGAAUUAAAAACAAAGUGCCUUAUCCUA